GUGGGCAAGAUGGCCGCCGGUGAGAGUCGCACACCGCCGUCGCUGGCCGGGACUUAGCAAAGUAAGGAUUCCCGGAAUGACUACAGGUCACCCUGGAGGAAGGCACACCAGAGAUAAGAAGCCGCUCCAAUAAGUAUCUCCUGUUCCGCGUGGCUAGCCCAGAGCCCCACCUCACGGCAGAGGCUUACUUCUCAGCUGAUGGCGAGGCCCUGCGGGAGCCAGUUAGAAAAAUGUGCCCCUUGUCACUCAUGCCGACCCACCGUAGCCAGUCAGGGCCGCCCCGCCUGGGGGUCAAAUCAGAGCUACAGCUCCCAGCCUCUGCCACAGCCAAAGCAACUCAGGAUUCAAGCCACAUCUGUGGCCUAUACCACAGCUCACAGUACUGCCGGAUCCUUAACCCACUGAGCGAGGCCAGGGCUCGAACCUGUGUCCUCGUGCAUACUAGUCGAGUUCGUUACUCCUGAGCUUGCCUGAACAUGCCUGAAUAUUUUAACAUGAGCUCAUAGGAGUCCAGAUAACGCAUCACUGCAAAACACCUCAUGGUGCCCAUCUUAGGGAAAAACCACCCACCUCCACAGCCCCUAACUAAGGAAAAGAAGGACCAGACCUGCUUUCUAGAAGAAAUCUGAACUAGGACAUCAAGAUCUAGAUUAGAAUGAAGAGUCCUGAAAAAUCACGAUAGUCGUGUGAACAAACCAGUCUGAUAGGAGCUACUGCAUGGCUAGCUCUUCUUUUCAGUAUGUUGCUGAGUGGGAGGGAAGCUUCGAGAAGGCAGGGACCUUGUCUCCUAAUGUCCCUGGCCCUCCAGUGUGUUAAGAAAGUGCUCGAUUCACAGGGAAGCUCCGUUGUCCUCACAGAUGGAGAGCUGCCCUUAGUGAGGACAUUAACCAGGUUAAGAGCCAGCCUUUACAGAAGAGUGAGGUCAAAGCCAGAGGAGGGAGCAGGACUGAAUCCUAGAUGUUUGGCGGAUGCAAACAGCCUCUUCAGGACUGAACUGGAAGGCAAAGGCCGUGGAGAUGCACCUCGCCGCAGCUCGGGCUCAGCCGCAAACUUGGACCUGCCCCAGGGAAACUGAGAAUGUCAAGGCCAGCCAGGUGUGAGGCUGUGCAGAGAGGGAAGACAAGCCGUAGCUGCCCCACCUCGCUCGGCCCCAGCAGAGUUAACCAGUCCCAGCCUGGGAGGGGGGAGAGCAGAAAAAAAAAACCACCACCACCUCCUCUAAAUGAAAAGGUCAACAAAGGCUCGAGACCAGAGGCCCCAGCCCUGCUAGGGAACAGCUCUGCACUCUGCCUUCUCAUUGUGGAAAAAAUACACAACAAGUAGAUUUCUGCACCCGUACGUCACCGAGACGAAAAUAAUGCAGCGGUUGGCUCAUGGAUUUAUCACAAGCAUUUUGCAAGUCUCAUUAUGUGCCAGUAGCUGUGCAACAUGCUGAAGUUGCAAACAUCAAAACCAGAGUCUGAGUUCCUCUUCAGAUCAUCUCUCCCCAGCAGGUGGGCAGGCUCCGUCUCUGCUCCAGCAGGACCACGAGACUCGGCUGGGCACCCACCGGCGAGAGUGUCCCCGGACUGCAGAACACGGAGCCAGGACAAAGCAGGGGAUGGAGCCUAGAGGCAAAGGCAGGAUUUGGGGGUACAGACAGCCCCACGGAAGGAAAGGGAAACCCAGGCAGGAAACAGACACCAGGCAGGAGCAGAAAGACAAAAGCCACAGCUGCCAAAACAGAGUCAGGUGGGUCUGAUGUAGAGUAAAAGACAGCACCUGGAAGGUUCCAGAAGUGACAGGAAAGCACCUUUUUUUAACAAGAUGCCUCUGUCCUCACCGCACUGGGAAGGGGGUUGUUAAAACCACUCCCACUGGUUCAGGAUCGCUCAAGGCCCCAGUUGGAAUAUUCCAGCAAAUCUAAACUAUAGUCAGUAGUACCAUGACUUGGCGUGCCACUAAGACAGAAAGAAACCUAACAAAUUAGGAUCCACCACUGAUUUUAAAUGUAGACCAGUCUCCGAAAUGUGCAAAUACAAACAGUGGGCAUCAGAGAAUCAAUGAAAUACAGACACUUGGGAGGAAUAGACGAGGGAGAGAGAGGGACACCAUCCGUACAUUCCCAGGAGAGACUGGACGACGGCUUCCUGUUCAGGAUACACCGUGGUAACAUUGGAAUCCUGGUAACCAUGGAGACAGGAAAGCCGGUGAAAAGAAGGGAAGGAUGGAGGGGCACCAGAUCAGCUGUCUCCAAGACAGCAAAUCCAUCAGGAACCCCGGUCAGCGAGUUAGGGACCCUUCGAAACUCGGUCUGCACUGAUCCAGGAACACCUUUCCUCUCGAAUCACAGCCGUCCUCAGGGAGAACUUCGCCACAAACACGUGGAUGCAGCCAAGCAGCGCAUUCGCUGUGUUCGCUUCCCAGAGAGCGGACGAUCAGUGAAGGCUUGUUGACUAAUGAUGUAAUUCACAUGAUGAAGGAUUAAAUGAUGGGGUGGAUCAGGCAGUGAAACAGAGGCAUCUGCCUUUGAGCUCAGGGGCUGAGAGAGCGCUCAGGAGCAAUGCCUCAGCCUUCUUCAUCUGUGAACAACUGAUUAUAGGUGGGAAUUAAAGAUUAGGUAAUUUAGGAAAUAAAAA
rnacentral:lncRNA from 1 species